rnacentral:lncRNA from 1 species
CUUGAUUUCAAAAGCAAAGAUUGUUUAGUGGUUCAAAAACGGUAACGAAGGAUUUCUCGUAUAGGGCAAGGAAGGCUUAGGGGAAAGCUUGGAAGUCCAAGUGGUUCGCCCGAUUGCAAGUGACUACAAGCAAUCGGAAAGCAUAGUGAGGUAGGUUGUGCUUCACCGAAGUGACUAGGUCGCUUCCAUGUCAAAGUGGAGUAUGAUUUCCUUGUUGAUG